GAGGGCUGGUGGUUUCCAGCCGAGUUUCUCUGGACCUGUAGCAUUUUCAAGAGUUUCAACUCUUGAGUUUAAACAAGUAUCAGAGCCUGACACUUGAAAAUCCCUUUUGGGAAACUGGAGUGCGUUGAAAAAAAUCGUAGACCUUCAUCAGACUGUUAUGCCCGGCGUGGCUGUUAUGAAACAAAAACCAAACAACCACAGCAAUGAAAAAACCCCUUCUAACCACUGGAAAGGUGUCAACCCGGUCACACAGUUUUGAACGCACUAGAAAACGCAUUCCUCACAAGUUUCUCCGUGGGUGCCCGUCUGGCUACGUAAAGCUUUCAAAAGCUGAAGGGGGCACCUCACACCGGAGGGAAGCCUUGCACUGCUGCGAGCCUUCAGCGCGGCUCCGUGCAGGAGCAGGUGUCCUGCCUCUUCUGCCGCAGAAAUAACCAAUACUGGUACAUCGCACGUGGCAUACAAUGGCACUUUUAAAAGGCUCCUCUUGUGAUUUCUUCAUAAAAGUAAUUAAAACCGAUGAGGCUGUGUAACUCCGGUCCUGAGUUGUUCUGCCCCCUGCAAGCCCCACAAUAGAGUUUUAACUGCUUAAGAAUAUAUAAAAACUCCCUGACUGCCUGAAAUGCUCCCUUCCCCUACAAAGCUAAAUGGGGUGUCACAUCCACAUCUUGAGGUGACAGCAUGAUUUGUAUUUUUCCUGGCCAACUCAAAGCUAGGAAGAAAAGGAGAAACAUUUUAUUUCCUACAUAAUCAAGUGUUACAAGGAAAAAAGAAUUGUUUUUCAUAAUUUAAAACACAGAUGUGUCCAAAACAAUAUCAGAGAAAGAUUAGAAGGACAGAGAACCCAUUUAUAAACAUGUUACAGUAGAGCAUACCUAUGAACGCAGCUGAGAGUAGUUUUGUUGUGAGGUUCUGGUUUCUUCUGUGUUUGUUUUAUUUUAAGUGCUUUAUGGCAAGAUUGUUCAGAUAAGACUAACAUUCCUUUUCACAAAAAUAGAACUGUGUGUUUAUUUCCAGCAUUAACUGUGUGACCCUUAGCUGUCCUCACAGGCUUGUAAUAUUCCUUAAUUCUACUUGCCUUACAGUUAUAUGAAAUUUACUUUUGCCAUUGGAGUGAAACAUCACCAUUGAUGCUAUUUCACUCUUUUACAUUGAACAAGUAUCUCUUAGAGAUCUAAGCACCAGUAAUAAAUUCAGGAGGACCUCAAUCACUUGUAGGACUAAAACCUACUCUUAAAAAUCAUUCAACUUUAAGGCAAUUGAAGACAUUUAAAAGUUGUGUUGCCUUAUGCUAAUAAUAAUGCCUUGUUAUUUUUCAGCACAACAACAGUCCGUUACAGGGCUGAUUGUCACAAAGGAAGUUUCUGGGGCUUGGAGCACUGCUCAGAUUGCACUCCCGACCUGUGGCACUCAGGAGUGAGAAGGCAGCACGUUCUGGUACUGUAGCCAUCUUGUAAGAUAUAUCCAAAACAGAGUUAAAAUUCAGUAACGAGCACAAUAGGAAAUAGGUGAGUAUUCCCACAGGUGAAAAGCCAAAGGGGCAUAGUUAGAAAAAUAUGCCAUCUAACCUGGUUGGUUUGAGCUAAAACAGGAAAAAAGUGCUUCAAGUGGCUAAAAGUACUAAAACCCACAUGGAAGGCAGUGCAGAAUGAAAAGAAGGAAAACUUUCAAGAUCCUGUUACCUCUAAAAUGUUAACAUAGAGCAGUCUCUCUCCCCUUACUCCUUUUUUCCUUUUUUUUCCCCCCUCUCCCUUCAUAUAAAGAAGAGAUAUAUGAGGGUAGGAUAUUCUAAAUCAAAGAGAGAAAUAAAAAGAAUAUUAAUUUUUGUUUUUUAAGGAUUUGCAGUGUUUCUCUAAAUAACCUGGACCUGUUCUGAUCAUUGGAACUUUAUUCCAGUUUCCUCAGACCUUAGAAAUGUUUGGAGUGGACACUGAUCUGCACUACUUCAAGGUUUUGUCUCUGUAGGCUAGUGCCAUUACAAAAAGACAGUAUUUUGUACUUAUUAUCCUAUCUUAAAGCAAGAGGAUAAAACAAGGAUGUGACCAUGCUCUACAAACAGGAGCUUGUGGGAAACAAAUUCAGGAUGACAUGCCAACAGAUGUUCAGCUUUCUGUUUUAAACCUUACCUUUGUGAACAUUGCCCAAGUUAAAAAUCUUUGCAAAGCAAUUCAUAUGUGAAAAGCAUUAAAGCUAAUUUUAGAGAGAGCAGACUACAUCUUCUAUCAAUCAAAGCAUAUAGACUGUAGAAAAUUUUUUUUCAAGAGAUCUCUUCUUUGCCCUAAACUCAUACUCACAGGAGAGAAUAAAAAAGCAUACUGAUGGACCAGAUAAGCAGAAAUUAUAACUAUCUGAAGGAUAAAAAUUAUCCAGAAACCAAAAUGCCCAGCCAGUAUUUAAGUGAUUCCCUGCUUUAAAGGGCUCUUUGUGUGGACUGUAACAAGGGUAUUUGGAUUUGGCUGCUUACCUUGAACAGUUCAGACUUUAACAAAGCAAAUACGUAUUUGUUAGCCUUCAGCCUUCAAAUAUAACUCACCUGGGCUAAUAUGAUGCACUGAAAGUAGUCUUCCCAUUAUUUAUUUAGAUAAUUUAUUUAGAGUAUCUUGACUGUGAACCUCAGUAUACACUGAAGUGGGAAUAAUUUCUUUUACCUUUUAGCCAGCAGUUGACCCCAGGACCCUUCUUUUCCCCCCUCAUCAUUUUAUUAAGAAAGUGAAUUUAAAGUGAAGAGCCACCAACAUGUAUCUGAACAACUUUCUGCCUCUAAAGGCUUUGAGACAUGGGAGGAGGAACCCAGUGUUCCAGACCACCUGUCCAAUGUCCUGCUAACUGUACUAUGUUGCCAGCUGGGACAUCAGUUGUUUCCCAGAAGAUACUGAUCUUUCCUCUAAAACUGAACCACGGUGCAAUAUGAAAAAAAAUCAUUCACCUAGAGUAUUAAUCAAAAUGUAAUUUAACUGCAUAUUUAGUUCAUGUGCUUUCUUACAUUUAGCACAAUCAAUUUGCUCUGAUUACUUAAAGCAUGUAUUUAAUCCCAUAGAAUGCUCUGGUCUUAUUUAUCGACUUGGCCUCAGUUGCAAACUGCAAUAUAUACACAUACACAUACGUAGCACCUGGAGCACAUCAACUUCUGAAAAUUAUUUAGGUUUCUGGUAAUUUUUCCAUGAAAACAAAUCUAAAUUACCAGACAUUAAUAUCCCACAUAUUAUAUGAAUCUGUCGUUUAAAUAACCACACUCUUAGGGGAAAAAGGUGAAUCUUCAUAAAGGUGGAAGCUCUCCCAUCUUGUUUAUCAGGGAAGAAAGGUUCACUUGGCAGAGGCUCAGACUAGCUAGUUAGCCAGUGUAGUCCAAAAAUAAGAAGCCAGGCCUCUAACGACUAGGCAGUAUGAAGGAAAAGGGAUACAGGAAGAAGGGGUCUUAUACCACACCACCAUCAGCUAAUUUUCUCUGGAGUACAGCAGAAGUUUUAAUCCAGAGUAAUGCUUAUAUGCAGAUCUCACAUCACCAGGGCUUCUAAUUUUUUUUUUCCUGUGAGAAAGAACAUAAAUUUUAUCUGACAGUGGACUACAAAAGGAUGUUUAUUCUAACAAUCAAGCUAUGAUUAAGUGCAAACUCUGGUGUGAGAUACUCUUGCACAGACCAAGACAGACAACAGAAUUCGGGAGAAAGAGCAAGAGAAGCGAAUUUUCACCUUGCAAGGCAUCAGUAGAACGCUGCCUAAAGACAUUCAUCUUAAAUGUGCAAAACCACUUAAAGGGAAUACCUAUCAAGUUGAGUAUUUACUGAAAAGCAAAGUUUCACACUUGCCAAGCAGAUUAUCUUCAUUUAUUAUCCAUACUUUUGAGUAGUACUACCACUGUUGCACAAGCCUUUUCAUAUCAGGCCCACACCACAAGACAGGAAACUUGUGUUCAAAGUAAGUCCUAAGAUGAAUUAAGGAAUCUUCUCAAAUUAUUGUUAUCUGCAAAGGAAUUAUUUUUUUCAGAAAAAGAAAUCUGAAAAAAAGUUAAGAUACUCUGCUGUCAGUUUACAUUAAAUAAUGGUCAUGGUCAUUUCUGAAGUUAGGAAAUUACCUUUUGGUGUGGGUUUUUUUCCACCCCCCCGAGAUGUAUUCACAUUGAAAGCUGACAUUUCUAAACCUGUGGUCCCUUUUCAUAAUCUCAGAGAUGCAGCAAACAAGUCCAAUUGAACCAAACUUUAAAUAAUAUAUGAUUCAAGGAAAAGAUUUUAUUUUAGGGCUAAGAAGUUGAUAAUAAAUAAAGGAAUAUAAUAAUGUAAUACCAGAUGUUCUCAUGCACUUAACACAUACAGUAACGCUGGCUUACACUGCUGUCUGGACAAAUUAAGAAGUAUUUGGCAAUAUUAUAAGUUUGAAUAGUUUAUAGAACAAGAAAUUCUUUCUGCUGUUUUUACAUUUCUUUUAUACAAAUUCAAAUAAAUAUUAAUACAUCUAUUUUUUCUCAGAAUUUCUCUUCACUUUUAACAUGCCCAAUAACUAAGCCACAGUAAUAUACAACUGCCAAGAAAGAAUAUUUAGAAUUAUACUUAUUCCUAAAAAUGUAUCAUAUUUAUGUCACAUUGUGCAAGCUCUUUAGGUAAAAUUAGAUUUUAGGAAAAACUGCAGAAAAUUUAAACUCAUUAAAACAUAUCCAGUGCAAAGGCCAGUCUAGUCCACAUAUUAUGGUACUGUAAUGUAAGCUAGUAUAAAUUAAAUAAUAAAACAUGCCUAUAUGAUUCUGAGAAAGCUGAAUAUGUUUUAUGUUUUGAAGAUCUGACAUCUAAUAUGCAGAUUCUGCAAUAUUAGAAUUUUUCAAAUCUUCAUGAGAUGGCAAAUGGUAAGACUUUAUAAGAAGGCUUUUUUUUUAGGAUAACUCACAUUAACAGUACUACAGUGGCCAAAAAAGACAAACUAUUAUAAUAGAAAUAAAUCUGAUUAAAAAAUUAAAUAUUCCAAUUAACACUGAAAAAGUGUUUGUAAUCAUUAUUUACAAUUCAUCAAUGAUACCAGUGUAUAACUCCACACAAAGUAUACCACUUCCAAGCAAAUACCAACUCCUGCAUCCCCCUUCGAGGAUCCGAUAGCAGUAUGUUCUUUAUGGGCAACAUAUCAGUUUAGAGAAGGAGAUCGAUCUGUGGUCCAGAGCAGUUCUAUAUAUGGCCAUUUGGUUUGCAAGCAGCGUUUCACAGGAGUGUCGUCGGUCUGUAGCAUUGGUUCUUCAAAUCCCAUAACAACUGCUGUGCCUUCUACAUACAUGACCUGUCAAAAGAAACCCCAUUAUGUCAGCCUGGUUAGAAACUCUAAGAUAAGGUGACUCUUUUCAUCACUUUAGGAGGAGAGUUGUUACAAUACACAUUUUGGGGUAUGAAACUGCUGGAGAUUUCACAGGAGUAAUUUUAAGGACUUAACUAAAGCUAUUACAAAGACUGAGUA